CAAAUAUUACUUGAUCUCAUUCAUAUGUGGAAGUUUUUAAAAAGAAAGGAAUUUAAAAUAUUAAGAAGAGAUCAGAUUGUGGUUACCAGGGGCAGGGGGUGAGAGAUGAGGAAUUGGAUGAACAUGGUCAAAAGGAACAAACCUUCUAAUUACAAGACAUGCUCUAUUUGCAAACUGACUGCAUGAAACGAAAAGCACAGUAAUUUUGAAGCUGUUGGCUUGGAUAAAAUGAGAAUGCAAUUAAAAAGAAAAAGGUUAGUAAAAGAACAUGCUGGGAG
rnacentral:lncRNA from 1 species